GAUGAAGAACGCAGCGAAAUGCGAUAAGUAGUGUGAAUUGCAGAAUUCAGUGAAUCAUCGAAUCUUUGAACGCACAUUGCGCCCGCUAGUAUUCUGGCGGGCAUGCCUGUUCGAGCGUCAUUUCAACCAUCAAGCCCUGUUUAGGCUUGUGUUGGGGCCCUGCGGCUGCCGCAGCCCCCUAAAUGCAGUGGCGGGCUCGUUGUCACUCCGAGCGCAGUAGCGUAUCUCGCUCUGGGCGUGGCGGCGGGUGCUAGCCGUGAAACACCCACUAAGGUUGACCUCGGAUCAGGUAGGAAUACCCGCUGAACUUAAGCAUAUCAAUAAGCGGAGGA
rnacentral:misc_RNA from 1 species